GGGUGCGUAACGCGUAUGCAAUCUACCUUUUACAGAGGGAUAGCCCAGAGAAAUUUGGAUUAAUACCUCAUAGUAUUAUGAAAUGGCAUCAUUUUAUAAUUAAAGUCACAACGGUAAAAGAUGAGCAUGCGUCCCAUUAGCUAGUUGGUAAGGUAACGGCUUACCAAGGCUACGAUGGGUAGGGGUCCUGAGAGGGAGAUCCCCCACACUGGUACUGAGACACGGACCAGACUCCUACGGGAGGCAGCAGUGAGGAAUAUUGGACAAUGGGCGCAAGCCUGAUCCAGCCAUGCCGCGUGCAGGAUGACGGUCCUAUGGAUUGUAAACUGCUUUUAUACGAGAAGAAACACUCCUUCGUGAAGGAGCUUGACGGUAUCGUAAGAAUAAGGAUCGGCUAACUCCGUGCCAGCAGCCGCGGUAAUACGGAGGAUCCAAGCGUUAUCCGGAAUCAUUGGGUUUAAAGGGUCCGUAGGCGGUUUAAUAAGUCAGUGGUGAAAGCCCAUCGCUCAACGGUGGAACGGCCAUUGAUACUGUUAAACUUGAAUUAUUAGGAAGUAACUAGAAUAUGUAGUGUAGCGGUGAAAUGCUUAGAGAUUACAUGGAAUACCAAUUGCGAAGGCAGGUUACUACUAAUGGAUUGACGCUGAUGGACGAAAGCGUGGGUAGCGAACAGGAUUAGAUACCCUGGUAGUCCACGCCGUAAACGAUGGAUACUAGCUGUUGGGAGCAAUCUCAGUGGCUAAGCGAAAGUGAUAAGUAUCCACCUGGGGAGUACGUUCGCAAGAAUGAAACUCAAAGGAUUGACGGGGGCC
rnacentral:rRNA from 1 species